UAGCAUUGUUUUGUUUCCUAGUGUAUUGUUUUUCCUUCGGAAGAUAAAAUAACAAGAGAAACCCGAUCACACUUAGAAGAACCUCUUACUAGAACGCCAGUGACGAUCCCAACUACUUUUCCUGGAACAAGAGUAACCUACUUUGUCAUAUCGAAAAUGCGCCCAUAAAUAUUGUUGACCUUACGUUACUUUCGUAAGUUUGACGUUCAAGGGAAAAUAAAGCUGCGAUUCAUAAAUUCGUCCGUUGUGUAAAAAAGAUCCCGCGCGAGCUUCAAGUCCCUCCAAACAAACAACAGCCAGCCUGUUUGGCACCACGGCAAUGACGCGAACGUUACACGGCCUGAGAUAACAAACGGCAUUUAUAAGUGCUAAAGGGGACGCAGGAGCUUCAUAAAUCAUUUCAACAUCAUUGGUGCCACUUCAUUGGGUACUUCGGAAGUUCGUUGGACCUUUUACUUAGUUGAGAAAAAAACAAAGAAUACAAAAACAACAAAAAUGUUGGACAAGACAUCUAUCAUUGCUCUGAUUCUAUCUCUGGGAGUGAUUGUGCGAACCAUGCAUAUACACCCGCAUCAUAUUAUAGAAAGAAGUUACGAGGAAAAUAAUGAAAGACACUCCAAAAGUGAAGAAGACCAUGAAGAAAAGAUCCAUGGAUUGUCAAUUGACAUGAUCCAACACAUCAGGCCUCAAGGGUUGGUGCCAAUCAACAAUGACUACUUCUUCAAUAGGUACCAUUUGAAGUGUGAAGACGGCUAUGAGAGGGACAUCCUUGGUGUAUGUAGGAAAGUUUGGUGAUUCUUUCUCAUAAUAAAAUACUAUCUAUCCUAGAAUUAAUAAAUGCAGUUUUAUUUACUAAGCAAUGUACAGGGUUUUUUUUAAAUAAGACGCAAAUGCCCGUUUUCACCAUCAAUCCCUAAUCUUUAAGUGACCCCUAUGAAAACAUAAUUCCUGUUAUGUGUUACCAUAGGAGUCACUUAAAAUAAGGGAUUGAUGGUGAAAACGUGCAUAAGACUAAGGGCCCUGAAAAUGCUUUUUG